CAGAGGAGAGGGAGACAUAGAGAUAUGGAAGGGGUGGUGAGAUCUUUUACCUCUACUGGAAAGACGGAGAGCAACAGGUUUCACAUCUCAAGGACAAUGUUUCUACAAAUGAAGCACUCCCGCCGGUGGACUGGAUUGGUACCGGGAAGGAACUGGAAUCUAUAAAGUUCUGCAGCGAUUUUCUUUACACCGGCUACCCCGAGCGUUUCGUUUCAUAAAAUUACCUCUAAGUCAUUCAAGAGUAUACAACCAGUGACUGCAGCAGAAAUGAAUAAAAAGUACAUUUGGACACUAAAAUGCUUCACAGCGAAAAUAACCAAUGCUUAUUAUAUUUUGACAGUGAAUGUAACGUUGGACUGUUUAACGCAUGAUUAAUGUUCUAGCCGAUUGAGCUGAAUAGCCGCCUUCGUUUGUUUUAUCCCAGCUUUCGCAUAUUUUUAAUGAAACUAAUUUUCUGCAA